GCCUGGGUAGCUAAGUCGGUUAAGCGUCUGACUUUGGCUCAGGUCAUGAUCUCGCGGUCCGUGGGUUCGAGCCCCACGUCGGGCU
rnacentral:tRNA from 1 species